rnacentral:rRNA from 1 species
GUCGCGGUAAUACGUAGAAGACUAGUGUUAUUCAUGUUUAAUCGGUUUAAAGGGUACCUAGACGGUGAAUCAAGCUUUGGUGUAAAUAAUAAUGGGCGAGAGAAAAAUGAUACWCGAUCUAUUAAAAAAAUAAUUUACAUAUGAUAAGGACUAAUUUACUAGAGUUACUUACGAGGGGGUUUUAAAGUACUGCUGGUGUAGAGAUGAAAUUCUGUCAUACCUCUUUUCGAAAGAAAAAUCAUGGCACAGGUAUAGGCGAAGGCAUCCCCUUAUGUGCUAACUGACGUUGAGGGACGAAGGCUUCAUGUAACAAACAGGAUUAGAUACCCUAGUAGUUGAUAGCAGAAAAUGAUGAAUGUCAUAGAUUAGAUAUAUAAGUUUAUUCUAUAAAUGAAAGUGUAAGCAUUCCACCUCAUGAGUAAUUUGGCAACAUUGGAAUUGAAAUCAUUAGACCGUUUCUGAAACCAGUAGUGAAGUAUGUUGUUUAAUUUGAUAAUACGCAAAAAACCUUACCACAAUUUGAAUAUUUAUAUCUUUUAUUGUUUUUAUCUUAAUUUUCUUAUGAUUUAGAAAAGAAAAAAAAGAAUAAGAAAAUUAAGAACAAGGCAAUAAGAUACAUUUACAAGCGUUGCACGGCUGUCUUCAGUUAAUGUCGUGAGACUUUGGUUAGUUCCAUUAAAUUAACGUAAACCCUUACUUUAUUUUUUAUAUAGAGUAGUUCCCCACUAUAUCGG